rnacentral:lncRNA from 1 species
UUCAUCAAUUUACAAUGCUAAAUCAAGUUAUAAUUUUUAAAUUACAAUUACAAUCAAUUUACAACCAAAAAUAAAGCCAAAAAUAAAUUACAAUAAAAAUCAAAUCAGAUCAAGCCAUGCUGACUUUGUUCACUGCCAAACCCUCUAAUGUUGAUGAUGACUGCCAUUGAUGCACAAGCCAUGCUUAUUGGUGCAUCUGUUCCUGUUUUAACUAAUUUGAGAAACAUAAAAACAUUUUUUUAAGUCAGUCUUGGUACACUUUGUGCAGAACAAAGAGACAAAAUUUUGAGUUUAAAAAAUAAACUAAGGGACAAAUUAAAGCUCAGCAACAGAACAGAUCAAAACAAAUAAAUCAAAACCAUGAAUGCAUCAGAGGUGUAGGAAAAAUGCAGAUGAUGAGCAAGGCAAUCAAAACAUUAAACAGGAAAUAGAUAGAGAAGGACCAAGGCAGACAAAGAAAGCAACUGAACACAUAAAAAACUCUAUAAAUAUACCCUAUAAAAUUUCAAAGUGCAGGAUCUGGGAUGAACACCACUGAUAAAAAACAUACAAAGAAGGAGAAAUCAAACUCGAAUAGAAAAAAUACUUAAACAGAAAAAAGGAGAAAGCAAAAGCAGUAGCAAAAGGAAACGAGCCAGAAGAAGAAAAGGUAUUUUCUUCCUUUUACAUAGUUCUAUUGUCGUAUAAAUGUAAGCUAAUAGAAAAAUAAGUUUUGUUUUUGAAAGUAAAAUAAAAAACGAAAAAAAACUCACCCCUUGGACGAUGUCAUUGUCGGUGCUGCCACCAUCGCUGAGGUUGUCGUCACCCUCCUCACCGUCGUCGAGUUUGCUGUCACCAUCCUCACCGUCGCCGAGGUUGCCGUCACCGUCCUCACCGUCGCUGUUCCCUCACAUCGUUUCUGUUUUCGCAUCCUGGUUCCAAUCGUGUGUUUGGCCGCCUCCUUUGCAACUUCGUGUUUGGCCACCUCCUUUGCAACUUCAUGUUGGCCGCCUCCUCUGCAACUUCAUGUUGGCCGCCUCCUUUGCAACUUCAUGUUGGCCGCCUCCUUUGUGUCUCAAGUUGGCCGUUUUCCUCAAAUGAAAUUAGGGUUUCUUAGUUUCAGAUUUG